rnacentral:rRNA from 1 species
GGUGAACGCUAGCUACAGGCUUAACACAUGCAAGUCGAGGGGUAACGAGAGGAAAGCUUGCUUUCCUGGUCGACGACCGGCGCACGGGCGAGUCACGCGUAUCCAACCUGCCCCCAACUAGGGAAUAACCCUCCGAAAGUAAGACGAAUACCCUAUAAUUUCCUCAGAUGUCAUCUGACAAGGAAUAAAGAUUUAUCGGUUGCGGAAGGGGCUGCGUCUGAUUAGCUUGUUGGCGGGGUAACGGCCCACGAAGGCAACGAUCAGUAGGGGUUCUGAGAGGAAGGUCCCCCACAUUGGAACUGAGACACGGUCCAAACUCCUACGGGAGGCAGCAGUGAGGAAUAUUGGUCAAUGGGCGGAAGCCUGAACCAGCCAAGUAGCGUGCAGGAUGACGGCCCUAUGGGUUGUAAACUGCUUUUAUACAGGAAUAAAGUUAGCCACGUGUGGUUAUUUGUAGGUACUGUAUGAAUAAGGACCGGCUAAUUCCGUGCCAGCAGCCGCAGUAA